AAAAUAUUUAUCGUUUAGAUAUGUAUUUUUAUAUAAAUAUCCCGACCCUUUUAUUAACAAUUUUGAUUUGGUGGUCUCUCUUUAUCAACAAUUCUGAUUCAUUGAAUAAAAAAAUUUAUUAUUAAUAUCUCUCUAAUCAUGGUUAUCGAGAAUGAUAAAGAGGUGAUCAAGAAAUUAGUGCAGAUUGAGGGGAGGAGUCUGAAGUUGGAUCAAUAAGAGGAUUGAUUUCGUUUUCUUGAGGUUUGGUGUAUCCUUUCUUUCUUUCUUUUUAUUCUAACAUUAGCAUUUUUUAUCGAUUGACGGGUUGUCAAGUCGAGGUAUUUGUCCCAUUCCGAAGUUGAAAGAUUGUGUCGAGUCUUCGAGGAGUGCUUGUUGAAGAAAGAUAUAAGAUAGGUUCGUGGUUUGAGAAUGUUAUUGGCGAUGGGUGUAGCCGGUGGACUGGCUUUUCACGGAUUGGUGGAUCGACUUCCUGCUUGGUGAUAUAUGGGCAACUUUGUGGAACGGUGUCCUCGACUUGUGGGGAUUUAUGAAGAUUGCGAAUUUAUAAGGGAGUUUUCGUUCUGGUUUUGGCUUCUAUUUUGUUCAAUUUAUUUUACUUUCAGGCGAGUAUGUGUAUUUUGCAUCUGCUUGACGUGUUUUGCCCCUUGUUUGCCUUUUUAAUUCAAUAAAUAUUACCAACUUUCCCCUA